rnacentral:rRNA from 1 species
GAUGAACGCUGGCGGCGUGCCUAAUACAUGCAAGUCGAACGCUGGAAAUCUAGCUUGCUAGAUUGAAGGAGUGGCGAACGGGUGAGUAAUACAUAAGCAACCUACCCACGAAGACUGGGAUAAUCUCUGGAAACGGGGACUAAUACCGGAUAGGUAAUCGGAAGGCAUCUUCUGAUUAUUAAAGGUUAAAAACACUGGUGGAUGGGCUUAUGGCGCAUUAGUUAGUUGGUGAGGUAACGGCCUACCAAGACGAUGAUGCGUAGCCGGCCUGAGAGGGUGAACGGCCACAUUGGGACUGAGACACGGCCCAGACUCCUACGGGAGGCAGCAGUAGGGAAUUUUCGGCAAUGGGGGAAACCCUGACCGAGCAACGCCGCGUGAGUGAUGACGGCCUUCGGGUUGUAAAGCUCUGUUGUAAGGGAAGAACGGUAGAUAGAGAAUAUCUAAAUGACGGUACCUUACCAGAAAGCCACGGCUAACUACGUG